rnacentral:rRNA from 1 species
UACAGAGGUCUCAAGCGUUGUCCGGAAUCAUUGGGCGUAAAGGGCGCGUAGGUGGCGGGACAAGCGUGCGGUGAAAGCUCGGGGCUCAACCCCGAGUCGGCCGUGCGAACUGUUUUGCUUGAGCACUGUAGAGGCAGGCGGAAUUCCGGGUGUAGCGGUGGAAUGCGUAGAGAUCCGGAAGAACACAGGUGGCGAAGGCGGCCUGCUGGGCAGUAGCUGACACUGAGGCGCGACAGCGUGGGGAGCAAACAGG